rnacentral:sRNA from 1 species
UAGAAUAUAUAUGUGCUAUACAGCAUUGC